UUAAGUCGGGACCUAAGGAGAGGUCGAAAGACGUAUCCGAUGGACAACAGGUUUAGAUUCCUGUACCACAUAUGAACAGAACUGUGGGGACGCAUGUGGAGAGCACGAGCCGGGAAUGGAAAUACCGGUACAAGCGGAGAAGGAGUCUGGUUGGCAAAUCCGCCAGGCAAUCCGAAGACGUGAUGUGGAGCGAAUUAGAGUAGCGAAGCGUGUGAGCCAUGUGCCGAGAAAAGCCGCUAUUGUUUCAUGUGUGCCCGUACCGUAAACCGACACAGGUGGAUGAGGAGAGAAUCCUAAGGCCGGCGGAAGAAGCAUUGUUAAGGAACUCGGCAAAAUGACCCUGUAACUUCGGGAGAAGGGGUGCCUGCUAACGCAGGCCGCAGAGAAUAGGCUCAAGCAACUGUUUAGCAAAAACACAGGUCUAUGCGAAACCGAAAGGUGAAGUAUAUGGGCUGACGCCUGCCCGGUGCUGGAAGGUUAAGAGGAAGGUUAGCGCAAGCGAAGCUUUGAAUUUAAGCCCCAGUAAACGGCGGCCGUAACUAUAACGGUCCUAAGGUAGCGAAAUUCCUUGUCGGGUAAGUUCCGACCCGCACGCAAGGCGUAAUGAUUUGAGCACUGUCUCGACAAUGCAUCCGGUGAAAUUGAAGUACCAGUGAAGAUGCUGGUUACCCGCGCCAGGACGGAAAGACCCCAUGGAGCUUUACUCCAGUUUGGUACUGGGAUUCGGUACUGCAUGUACAGGAUAGGUGGGAGACUAAGAACUUGGGACGCCAGUUUCAAGGGAGUCGCUGUUGGGAUACCACCCUUGCAGUAUUGGAUUUCUAACCAGCCGCCGUGAUCCGGCGGUGGGACAAUGCCAGGCGGGGAGUUUGACUGGGGCGGUCGCCUCCGAAAGGGUAUCGGAGGCGCUCAAAGGUUCCCUCAGAAUGGUUGGAAACCAUUUGAGGAGUGCAAAGGCAGAAGGGAGCUUGACUGCGACACCGACGGGUGGAGCAGGUAGGAAACUAGGACUUAGUGAUCCGGUGGCAUAAAGUGGGAUUGCCAUCGCUCAACGGAUAAAAGCUACCCUGGGAUAACAGGCUUAUCACUCCCAAGAGUUCACAUCGACGGAGUGGUUUGGCACCUCGAUGUCGGCUCAUCGCAUCCUGGGGCUGUAGCAGGUCCCAAGGGUUGGGCUGUUCGCCCAUUAAAGCGGUACGCGAGCUGGGUUCAGAACGUCGUGAGACAGUUCGGUCCCUAUCCGGCGCGGGCGGAGGAUAUUUGAGAGGAGCUGUCCUUAGUACGAGAGGACCGGGAUGGACGGACCACUGGUGUAUCUGCUGUCGACCAACGGCAUGGCAGAGUAGCCAAGUCCGGAAGGGAUAAACGCUGAAGGCAUCUAAGCGUGAAGCCCCCCUCAAGAUGAGAUAUCCCUCACAUAAGUGAGUAAGAUCCCUUGAAGACUACAAGGUAGAUAGGGCAGAGGUGGAAGCACGGUAACGUGUGGAGCUGACUGUUACUAAUCGAUCGAGGGCUUGACCAA
rnacentral:rRNA from 1 species